AUGACAACUAGCCAAAGUGGGCACGAUCACUCUCUUGCAAUCAGACAAGAGAUCCAACGUUUCGAAAGUGUACACCCGUCGAUUUAUGCUAUAUACGAUUUAAUUGAUCUCAUUUCUGAUGCUCAUAUUGCAAAACAAAUCCGAGAGCAUGUUGUUGCUAUCGAAGACUCAUUCGUUAACAGUCACGAGUGGACAUUGGCUAGAGACGUACCAGAGUUACAUCUGGGAAUUAUUGGUUCUUCUGAUUCUGGAAAGUCUGCACUGGUACAUAGAUAUCUUACAGGAUCAUUUAUGCACGAAGAAUCUCCAGAAGGUGGUCGUUUUAAGAAAGAAGUUUUUAUUAACGACCAGAGCUACCUUUUAUUAAUUAGAGAUGAAGGUGGAAUACCAGAGUCGCAGUUUUUGGCAUGGAUAGACGCAGUAUUAUUUGUCUUCAGUUUGGAAAGCGAAGAAAGUUUUUCGGUGGGUUGUAGUUAUUACAAUCGUAUGUGUUCUUUCCGAAAUAUGUCUGACGUACCAAAAAUACUCGUAGGAGUACAAGAUUCAAUUAAUGAUAGUCAUCCCCGGGUUGUUAAUGACAUCAGACCGAGAAAGUUAGCUUGUGAUCUUAGAUGCCCUUAUUAUGAAACAUGUGCUAUAUAUGGCCUUAAUGUUGAACGAGUUUUUCAAGAUGUAUGUCAACAAAUUAUCCAAAAGAUGUCUGCAAAACAUCCCCGACACAAUGGACAACACACGGCAGAAAACGAAAUAAAAUACUCAAUGCCCGUAAUUACAAAGAGUGUACAGCUACCUACCAAAGAUAUGGAUAGUGGCAGUCUAAAAGUAAAUCUAUCGGAAAAGGAAGACGAUAUCGUUAAGUCUGCCCACGAUAACAUAGCUCAAACGGAUUUAACGGUGACUAACGAUAGUUUCCAAUAUGUGCAAAAUCAGCAUGGAGAGUUUCGUUCAUCUAUCUUAACCCCUACGACUAUCAGAAAAUUCCGACGAAAAUCCAACUUAUUUACUCCUUCAAAAAAAGAAAAAUAUAACAUGGGGGAAAUGGGCGUAGGUAGAGAAAUUCCUGUUAAGCAAGGAUAUUUAUUUAAAAGAAGUAGCAAGUCUUUGAAAGAGUGGAAAAAGAAAUAUGUUACCUUGCUAGAAGAUGGACGACUGACUUAUCAUUCAAGUCUACACGAUUAUAUGAAUGAUACUAAUGGUAAAGAAAUAUUGCUACAAUAUGUAACCGUUAAAGUGCCAGGAAAAACUCCUAAAGGGUCCAAAUCAACCGCAGCUCAAGAAGAUAGUUUUGAAUUUUCCAUAAUUUCAUUGGAAAACAAGACUUGGCAUUUUGAGGGGAAUAGUGCAGAGGACAGGGAUAGUUGGAUCACUGCGAUAGAACAACAAAUUUUAUCCAGCUUACAAAAUAGUGAUACUGAUAAGAAAAAUGAGACCGACACUUUCAAAAUGCACUGUAUUAAAAACAAAAUAUCCGGAAAUGACGCAUGCGUUGAUUGUGGAGCCGCGAAUCCAGAUUGGGCCAGUUUAAAUAUAGGCGUUUUAAUGUGCAUCGAGUGUUCUGGAAUACACAGAAACUUAGGAUCUCAUAUAUCAAAAGUUCGAUCAUUGGAUUUAGAUGAUUGGUCGGCAGGCCAACUGAGUGUAAUGUUAGCUCUUGGUAAUGACAUAGCUAACAGUGUUUGGGAAUAUUGUUUAAACGGAAAACAGAAACCAACCGCAGAUUCAUCCAGAGAAGAGAAGGAACAAUGGAUCAGGUGGAAGUACGAAGAAAAAGUUUUCCUUCCACCAAUUAAUCCAAACAUCUCUCUGGGGAAGUUAUUAAUAGAUUCGGUUUGCCGAGGAGAUAUGAGAGCGUUCACAUUGUGUUUGGCUAGAUGUACCCACGAAGAUAUCAACAUUUCCGUCAGCGCGGAAGAUCUGCGAACACCUCUUCACCUUGCUUGUGCUACAGGGAAUCUGGCGAUGGCGCAACUUUUAAUAUGGCAUAAAGCUAAUCCGCAAAACCUCGAUCAUGAGGGACGUACGUGCAUGUCGUAUGUUCGAGCACUCGAGAGGACUCUCGACAAUACGUCAGACUCAAUGGAAAUGCAGAAACUUCUCGAGGUAUUGGAACAAGCGAGAAUAAGUGGCCACGAAGAUGCGGAAACGACCCAGUAUUGAACAACUUUGUAAGGUGUUUUAACAGGAGACGCUGGUGAGUCAUUUCGACGACACUUGUUAUUAUGUACUUAUACAGAAUGCCUCCAAAGGUUUUUGUGUUUAUUAAGGGUAGGCACGAUCGAUUUAACGACGAGUUGAUAAUCAAUCAGCCAAGACUCGCACCGGGUUCAAAUCGCGAUACCGAGACGUGUUUUUUAAGCAAAGGAACAGCCUUUGGUUUUUAUAAAGGAUUGGUGAAGCCGGUGACCAUACAUUCCCUUCGAGGCUUAGUAAACGCAAUACCAAUCUGGAAGACGGUAUUAA
rnacentral:misc_RNA from 1 species